rnacentral:rRNA from 1 species
UACGUAGGGGGCGAGCGUUGUCCGGAUUUAUUGGGCGUAAAGAGCGUGUAGGCGGCCAGGUAGGUCUGCUGUGAAAACUCGAGGCUCAACCUCGAGACGUCGGCGGAAACCAUCUGGCUAGAGUCCGGAAGAGGAGAGUGGAAUUCCUGGUGUAGCGGUGAAAUGACGCAGAUAUCAGGAGGAACACCGAUAGCGAAGGCAGCUCGCUGGGACGGUACUGACGCUGAGGCGCGAAAGCGUGGGGAGCGAACAGG